AUUGAACGCUGGCGGCAGGCCUAACACAUGCAAGUCGAGCGGAUGAGAGGAGCUUGCUCCUCGAUUCAGCGGCGGACGGGUGAGUAAUGCCUAGGAAUCUGCCUAGUAGUGGGGGACAACGUUUCGAAAGGAACGCUAAUACCGCAUACGUCCUACGGGAGAAAGUGGGGGAUCUUCGGACCUCACGCUAUUAGAUGAGCCUAGGUCGGAUUAGCUAGUUGGUAGGGUAAAGGCCUACCAAGGCGACGAUCCGUAACUGGUCUGAGAGGAUGAUCAGUCACACUGGAACUGAGACACGGUCCAGACUCCUACGGGAGGCAGCAGUGGGGAAUAUUGGACAAUGGGCGAAAGCCUGAUCCAGCCAUGCCGCGUGUGUGAAGAAGGCCCUCGGGUCGUAAAGCACUUUAAGUUGGGAGGAAGGGCUUACAGCGAAUACCUGUGAGUUUUGACGUUACCGACAGAAUAAGCACCGGCUAACUUCGUG
rnacentral:rRNA from 2 species